rnacentral:rRNA from 1 species
GGACGAACGCUGGCGGCGUGCUUAACACAUGCAAGUCGAACGGAGCUUUUUGGAUAGAGACUUCGGUCAAUUGAAUUAAAGCUUAGUGGCGGACGGGUGAGUAACGCGUGAGCAACCUGCCCUUGUGUGGGGGAUACCGUCUGGAAACGGACGUUAAUACCGCAUAACAUAGCGGAAUCGCAUGGUUCUGCUAUCAAAGAUUUAUUGCGCAAGGAUGGGCUCGCGUUGGAUUAGAUAGUUGGUGAGGUAACGGCCCACCAAGUCUGCGAUCCAUAGCCGGACUGAGAGGUUGAACGGCCACAUUGGAACUGAGAUACGGUCCAGACUCCUACGGGAGGCAGCAGUGGGGAAUAUUGGGCAAUGGGCGAAAGCCUGACCCAGCGACGCCGCGUGAAGGAAGAAGGUCUUCGGAUUGUAAACUUCUUUUAUCAGGGACGAAUACUGACGGUACCUGAUGAAUAAGCCACGGCUAACUACGUG